GUAACGCGUGAGAAUCUGCCCUUAGGAGGGGGACAACAGUUGGAAACGACUGCUAAUACCCCAUAUGGCGAGAGCUGAAACUAAUUGGCCUAAGGAUGAGCUCGCGACUGAUUAGCUAGUUGGUGGGGUAAGAGCCUACCAAGGCGACGAUCAGUAGCUGGUCUGAGAGGAUGAUCAGCCACACUGGGACUGAGACACGGCCCAGACUCCUACGGGAGGCAGCAGUGGGGAAUUUUCCGCAAUGGGCGAAAGCCUGACGGAGCAACGCCGCGUGCGGGAGGACGGCCUGUGGGUUGUAAACCGCUUUUCUCAGGGAAGAACACAAUGACGGUACCUGAGGAAUCAGCAUCGGCUAACUCCGUGCCAGCAGCCGCGGUAAUACGGGGGAUGCAAGCGUUAUCCGGAAUUAUUGGGCGUAAAGCGUCCGUAGGCGGUUGAGCAAGUCUGCUGUUAAAUCGCGGAGCUUAACUCCGAACAUGCAGUGGAAACUGUUCAACUAGAGUGCGGUAGGGGUUGAGGGAAUUCCCAGUGUAGCGGUGAAAUGCGUAGAUAUUGGGAAGAACACCAGUGGCGAAGGCGCUCAACUGGCCCGCAAACUGACG
rnacentral:rRNA from 1 species